rnacentral:rRNA from 1 species
CUGGAGAGUGGCGCACGGGUGAGUAACGCGUGGGGACCUACCUCUUAGUGGGGGAUAACGGUUGGAAACGACCGCUAAUACCGCAUACGCCCUUCGGGGGAAAGAUUUAUCGCUAAGAGAUGGACCCGCGUUGGAUUAGAUAGUUGGUGAGGUAACGGCUCACCAAGUCAGCGAUCCAUAGCUGGUUUGAGAGGAUGAUCAGCCACACUGGGACUGAGACACGGCCCAGACUCCUACGGGAGGCAGCAGUGGGGAAUAUUGGACAAUGGGGGCAACCCUGAUCCAGCCAUGCCGCGUGAGUGAAGAAGGCCUUCGGGUUGUAAAGCUCUUUCAGAUGCGAAGAUGAUGACGGUAACAUCAGAAGAAGCCCCGGCUAAUUUCGUGCCAGCAGCCGCGGUAAUACGAAAGGGGCUAGCGUUGUUCGGAUUUACUGGGCGUAAAGGGCACGCAGGCGGUCUUGCCAGUCAGGGGUGAAAGCCCGGGGCUCAACCCCGGAACUGCCUCUGAUACUGCA